AUUGAACGCUGGUGGCAUGCCUUACACAUGCAAGUCGAACGGUAACGCGGGGCAACCUGGCGACGAGUGGCGAACGGGUGAGUAAUGCAUCGGAACGUGCCCGGUAGUGGGGGAUAACUGCUCGAAAGAGCAGCUAAUACCGCAUACGACCUGAGGGUGAAAGGGGGGGAUCGCAAGACCUCUCGCUAUCGGAGCGGCCGAUGUCGGAUUAGCUAGUUGGUGGGGUAAAAGCCCACCAAGGCAACGAUCCGUAGCUGGUCUGAGAGGACGACCAGCCACACUGGGACUGAGACACGGCCCAGACUCCUACGGGAGGCAGCAGUGGGGAAUUUUGGACAAUGGACGCAAGUCUGAUCCAGCCAUGCCGCGUGCGGGAAGAAGGCCUUCGGGUUGUAAACCGCUUUUGUCAGGGAAGAAAUCUUCUGAGUUAAUACCUCGGGAGGAUGACGGUACCUGAAGAAUAAGCACCGGCUAACUACGUGCCAGCAGCCGCCGUAAAAC
rnacentral:rRNA from 1 species